UACGGAGGGUGCAAGCGUUAUCCGGAUUCACUGGGUUUAAAGGGUGCGUAGGUGGGUCUGUAGUCCGUGGUGAAAUCUCCGAGCUUAACUUGGAAACUGCCAUGGAUACUAUAGGCCUUGAAUACUGUGGAGGUCAGCGGAAUAUGUCAUGUAGCGGUGAAAUGCUUAGAUAUGACAUAGAACACCAAUUGCGAAGGCAGCUGGCUACACAAAUAUUGACACUGAGGCACGAAAGCGUGGGGAUC
rnacentral:rRNA from 1 species